rnacentral:rRNA from 1 species
AGAGUUUGAUCCUGGCUCAGGAUAAACGCUGGCGGCGUGCCUAAUACAUGCAAGUCGAACGAGGAGUCUUUGUAGCAAUACGGAGAUUUCCUAGUGGCGAAUGGGUGAGUAACGCGUUGGUGACCUACCCCGAAGAGAGGAAUAACUCCGGGAAACUGGAGCUAAUACCUCAUGUGGUUACCAGGGUUAGAGGCCUGGUAUCUGAAGGAGUAAUCCACUUUGGGAGGGACCUGCGUCCCAUCAGCUCGUUGGUAGGGUAACGGCCUACCAAGGCUACGACGGGUAGGGGGCCUGAGAGGGUGGCCCCCCACACUGGCACUGAAACACGGGCCAGACACCUACGGGUGGCAGCAGUAGGGAAUAUUGCACAAUGGGCGAAAGCCUGAUGCAGCAACGCCGCGUGAACGAUGAAGACCUUCGGGUUGUAAAGUUCUUUUCUGAAGGACGAGGAAGGACGGUACUUCAGGAAUAAGGAUCGGCUAACUACGUGCCAGCAGCCGCGGUAAUACGUAGGAUCCGAGCGUUAUCCGAAUUUACUGGGCGUAAAGCGUGUGCAGGCGGUUUGGUAAGUUGGAUGUGAAAGCUCCCGGCUCAACUGGGAGAGGCCGUUCAAAACUACCAGACUUGAGGACGGUAGAGGGAGGUAGAAUUCCCGGUGUAGUAGUGAAAUGCGUAGAUAUCGGGAGGAAUACCAGUGGCGAAGGCGGCCUCCUGGACCGUUCCUGACGCUCAGACACGAAAGCUAGGGGAGCGAACGGGAUUAGAAACCCCGGUAGUCCUAGCUGUAAACGAUGCAAACUUGGUGUUGGUGGGGUAAAAUCCGCCGGUGCCGAAGCUAACGCGAUAAGUUUGCCGCCUGGGGACUACGGCCGCAAGGUUAAAACUCAAAGGAAUUGACGGGGCCCCGCACAAGCAGCGGAGCGUGUGGUUUAAUUCGUUCUACGCGAAAAACCUUACCCGGGUUUGACAUAUAGGUAGUAGGGAUCCGAGAGGUGACCGACCCUUCGGGGAGCCUAUACAGGUGCUGCAUGGCUGUCGUCAGCUCGUGCCGUGAGGUGUCCGGUUAAGUCCGGUAACGAGCGCAACCCUCGCUGUAUGUUACAAGUGUCAUACAGGACUGCCGGUAUCAAGCCGGAGGAAGGCGGGGAUGACGUCAAGUCAGCAUGGCCUUUAUAUCCGGGGCUACACACACGCUACAAUGGCCGGUACAAUGGGUCGCAAAGCCGCGAGGUAGAGCCAAUCCCCAAAACCGGUCUCAGUUCAGACUGCAGGCUGCAACCCGCCUGCACGAAGCCGGAGUUGCUAGUAAACGCGCGUCAGCAUUAGUGCGUUGAAUACGUUCCCGGGGCUUGUACACACCGCCCGUCACGUCAUGGGAGCUGGUAACACCUGAAGCCGGUAUCCUAACCCGUCAGGGAGGGAGCUGUCGAAGGUGGGACUGGUGACUGGGACGAAGUCGUAACAAGGUA